rnacentral:rRNA from 1 species
AUUGAACGCUGGCGGCAGGCCUAACACAUGCAAGUCGAACGAGUGGCGGACGGGUGAGUAAUGUCUGGGAAACUGCCCGAUGGAGGGGGAUAACUACUGGAAACGGUAGCUAAUACCGCAUACCAUCGGAUGUGCCCAGAUGGGAUUAGCUAGUAGGUGGGGUAACGGCUCACCUAGGCUACGAUCCCUAGCUGGUCUGAGAGGAGGACCGGCCACACUGGAACUGAGACACGGCCCAGACUCCUAGGGGGGGAAGCAGUGGGGAAUAUUGCACAAUGGGCGCAAGCCUGAUGCAGCCAUGCAGCGUGUAUGAAUAAGGCCUUCGGGUUGUAAAGUACUUUCAGCGAGGAGGCGUUACUCGCAGAAGCAGCACCGGCUAGCUCCGUGCCAGCAGCCGCGGUAAUUC